rnacentral:rRNA from 1 species
AUUGAACGCUGGCGGCAUGCCUUACACAUGCAAGUCGAACGGUAACAGGUCUUCGGAUGCUGACGAGUGGCGAACGGGUGAGUAAUACAUCGGAACGUGCCUAGUAGUGGGGGAUAACUACUCGAAAGAGUGGCUAAUACCGCAUGAGAUCUACGGAUGAAAGCAGGGGAUCGCAAGACCUUGUGCUACUAGAGCGGCCGAUGGCAGAUUAGGUAGUUGGUGGGAUAAAAGCUUACCAAGCCGACGAUCUGUAGCUGGUCUGAGAGGGCGAUCAGCCACACUGGGACUGGGACACGGCCCAGACUCCUACGGGAGGCAGCAGUGGGGAAGUUUGGACAAUGGGCGAAAGCCUGAUCCAGCAAUGCCGCGUGCAGGAUGAAGGCCUUCGGGUUGUAAACUGCUUUUGUACGGAACGAAAAGCCCCGGGUUAAUACCCUGGGGUCAUGACGGUACCGUAAGAAUAAGCACCGGCUAACUACGUGCCAGCAGCCGCCGCCG